CCCAUUUAUGAUUCAAAACCAAACCUCAGAAACAAAAGAAAACAUCUUCAGCUUAGUAAAUAGCAUCUGCAAUUUUUUUUUAAUGAUAAAAAACUGAAUGCAUUCUCCCUAAGACUGGGAAUAAGGGAAGGGCAUGUGUUGUCAUUGCUUCUGUUCUACUUCUAUUCAACGUGGCACUUUACCUUUUAACCAGUUAAGUAGCCUAAGGAAAUGAAAAACAUACAGAUUGAAAAAUAAAAUGUCCUUAUUUGCAGAUAAUAUUAUCUACAUGGGAAGUCUCAAGAAAUCUCCAAGAAUGUACUGUAAUAAGUAGAUUUAAUAAAAUCAUAGAAUACAAGAUUAAUACCCCAAACUUAAUUUCUGUGUGCUAGCAAUGUACAGAAAAUUUUAUAAUCACUCAAAAAAAUUAUACUUUGUAUAAAUUUAACAAAACACAGGAUCUAAUUGCCAAAAACUAUAAAUGAUUACCCCCAUGUUUGAGUAAAUUAGAAAUACUAUGCACACUUAGUUAUAAUUUAUUUAACAAACUAUACUUUCAGAAAUAAUUUAACUCCACUUCCUCACUUAGUUUCUUGAUAAAAGAAAUUGGAAAGUCAUUGCAAAAAUCUAGUCUGCAUAUCAUGAACAAUACUGUAAUGCUGCCAUGAAAAUCAUCUAUAUGCCACAAAAAUGAUAGGAAAAAAAACCCUACCUAACAAUUUGACUACUUUCAGAAAUAUAAGCUAGAGGAAUUCAUAGUAGCCUCAGAAUAUUCCCCCCAACUAUCAGGACCUAGAAAGAUCUAAUAAGUGAUUCUCAAAGUAUGGCCACUUGGAAACUUAGAAUUACAAAUUUUGGGAGGCCCCACCCUAGGACCAUGGAAUGAGGAUGGGGUCCAGCAAUUUGUUUUAAAUGGGUAUUCCUAAGGCUCACCAAAAUUGGAGAACUAUUGGUGUACACUAAGACUCAGUUUUGGAAAACAGAUUGAAAGAAGCAAAUGAUUCCAUAGAGAUCAGAAAGUACCUUUGUUCCUUG
rnacentral:lncRNA from 1 species